rnacentral:rRNA from 1 species
UACAGAGGGGGCAAGCGUUGUUCGGAAUUACUGGGCGUAAAGGGCGCGUAGGCGGCCUUCUAAGUCGAACGUGAAAUCCCCGGGCUCAACCCGGGAACUGCGUCCGAUACUGGAAGGCUUGAAUCCGGGAGAGGGAUGUGGAAUUCCAGGUGUAGCGGUGAAAUGCGUAGAGUAUCUGGAGGAACACCGGUGGCGAAGGCGACAUCCUGGACCGACAUUGACGCUGAGGAGCGAAAGCUAGGGGAGCAAACGGGAUUAAGAAACCCCGGUGAGCCC